CCUGACCCUCGAGGCGUUGCAGGUGUGGCUGUUGUGUCACAUCUGUGUCACUAGGUGGCAAAGAGAAUUGAGGUUAUGUCUGCGCUCAGUGUUCUGACCCGUGAACGCCUGGAUGAUUAGUAGCCUGACAUG
rnacentral:snoRNA from 1 species